AGCGCUGGUAGUGCAGUUGGUUAUGCACACGAUCCCGGAAAGGUUGCAUUGCAGGUUCAAGUCCUGACUUACGUCA